GGUCUCGUAGUGGAGCGGUUAACACGCCUGCCUGUCACGCAGGAGAUCGCGGGUUCGAUUCCCGUCGAGACCGCCA
rnacentral:tRNA from 1 species